AUCCUGAACGAAGGUCGAAAAGACUGAGAUGAAGGAAACCAAACGUAUACACAUUCCUCCAAGACUGCUGAAGUUCCUGUGAUAGACGGGGAUCGGCACUUCCUCAUCAAACAGAUCCAGUAUAAUCUACCUGAUGAACAUCUACGUCCAGCCCUGAACCAUCUACCUGUGUCGGCACGGAGAGAACAACGACAACCUGGAGGGACAGCUGGGCCGUGAUGCAGGCCUCUCGCCGCGAGACAGACAGUUUUUGGUGGCUAAACCCGAGUCUGCAGUCCUACCAGGACCUGGUCCAAUCAGUCCGGUGGCUCUGAAGAAUUUACUACACAUUUCUUGCCUUCAUCUUACCUGAAGACAAGAGUACCCCCCCCCCCCCAUCCAUGUUCCUCUGAAAAACCUUUUCCCCCUCACACAUUUUAAAAUUUAUUCAGUGGAUGCAA